GUAGGGAAUCUUCCACAAUGGACGCAAGUCUGAUGGAGCAACGCCGCGUGAGUGAAGAAGGCUUUCGGGUCGUAAAACUCUGUUAUUGAAGAAGAACGUGUGUGACAGUAACUGGUCAUGCAGUGACGGUAUUCAAUCAGAAAGUCACGGCUAACUACGUGCCAGCAGCCGCGGUAAUACGUAGGUGGCAAGCGUUGUCCGGAUUUAUUGGGCGUAAAGCGGGUGCAGGCGGUCUUUUAAGUCUGAUGUGAAAGCCUUCGGCUUAACCGAGAAGGGCAUCGGAAACUGGGAGACUUGAGUGCAGAAGAGGAG
rnacentral:rRNA from 1 species